CGUAGGCGGUUUGUCGCGUCUGUCGUGAAAGUCCGGGGCUUAACCCCGGAUCUGCGGUGGGUACGGGCAGACUAGAGUGCAGUAGGGGAGACUGGAAUUCCUGGUGUAGCGGUGGAAUGCGCAGAUAUCAGGAGGAACACCGAUGGCGAAGGCAGGUCUCUGGGCUGUAACUGACGCUGAGGAGCGAAAGCAUGGGGAGCGAACAGGAUUAGAUACCCUGGUAGUCCAUGCCGUAAACGUUGGGCACUAGGUGUGGGGACCAUUCCACGGUUUCCGCGCCGCAGCUAACGCAUUAAGUGCCCCGCCUGGGGAGUACGGCCGCAAGGCUAAAACUCAAAGGAAUUGACGGGGGCCCGCACAAGCGGCGGAGCAUGCGGAUUAAUUCGAUGCAACGCGAAGAACCUUACCAAGGCUUGACAUGUUCUCGAUCGCCGUAGAGAUACGGUUUCCCCUUUGGGGCGGGUUCACAGGUGGUGCAUG
rnacentral:rRNA from 1 species